GGAACGAACACGUCACUUCAUUAUUGUGCAUCUGGAUUCUGUGUCACCGCGCUCUCCUCAUUAUUUCUAACAUCUUUUCUUCUCAGUUUGUUUUCUUUGGUUAAAACCCUAACCUGUUUUCUUUGGAUUGAAUUGUAGUUUUAAGUAAUUGUCAGGGGAUCGUCACAUAGAAAGCAGUUCCAAGAUGGAAACGAUCCAUCUUUCGAAAGAGGCAAUAAUGCUAUUGUUAAUUCUGGGCUGAAAAUUGGGGCAUGAGGAAACUUGACUCACAUCUUUGCGGGGCAAACCCGGAAUAUGUAACUGGUUCAUUUUGCAGCCAUGGCGUUGUCGUCUUCUCUUAGCCCCAUUUUACACGGAUCUGAGCCUUAAAUUCAAAUGGUCACUGUAGAUUCUCCAGAAUCUGGACCAGUAGCUGGUUUGAUAGAAACCCAGUUCAUUUUCAGCUUGAAAGAAUGAGGCCAUCGAAGAAAAUGCAGAUUUUUCAGGAUGUUUGACCAUCUACGGAAGAUGGAUAAUAAAGAGGCUGCAAAGGUUAUUGAUGCACUUUCAUUGACUACUUCCUUAUCCAACACUUCAAUUUCGGCUUCACAGUAAGUUUCUUUCGCUCAGUAUGCUAUCGGGUUUAUGUAAUUUCUAUUUGGGAUGCUAAUUCUUAUGGCUAAUUUCGCACGAGCAUGUGACGUCUGUUAAGUACCUGUAAUCUUAGUUAUUGAAGUAUUGGUACUGCAUAGCUGUGUUGCUUGGACUCUGAAAAAAAUGUCAAUGAGUACGUGUUGGAUUCUGCUAAAGUAGCGUAUUUUUUGUGGAUCCGACAUGGGUGGCGAUACUUUGGAUAGGUCCAAAACAGAUAUAGAAGAUCCAUAUAGAUGUUCCACUUAGUUCGGAAUAGAGGAUUAGUUAAGGUGUGACAUAGAAUAUUUUUUUUGUCUAUGAAAACAUUUCUUUGGUUUUUGUCAUCUUGUUCAUAUGUGAGAUUGUAUUUUUUUUUUUUCCAUAUUCUGAUGUUUUAGGAUGAGUUUGAAUAAGUUCAAGAUUGUUAGGAGUAUUGGGGUGGAAUGCAUUAAAGGAGGAUGGGUUAAUGAAUCUUUUGGCAAAGAAGCGACAAUCCAUUUGCUUGCAGAAUCCCAUCCAACCGUGGAGCUGAUUUCUCAUAUAAUCACUCAACUAAUAGUUAUUAUCUUAUAAAGAGUUCCUUUUUUUUUUUUUUUUUGUUGAAAAGAAUUGGAAUCAAGAAGAAGGUGAAAUAUUAAUAAAUUGAGUGACCGAAUGAGAAAUUAACCCUCCACUUGAGAAGUAAUUAUGUGAAGUUUCGUAUGUGGCUAAAAUUGAUCCUACUCAUAAGAAAAAUCUAUAUUUUAUGCGAUUCUUUCUUCCUGUUACAUUUGUGCAGGUCAACUAUUGAAAUUAGUGGAGGGGCUCCUAUGCAGUUGUUUUCUUUUUUAGCUUCUCAUGAUCGUUUUUUCUUUUUUGCAAUUUCUUUGCAUAGCAGGGAGUUUUGAAGGCACUAAAUGUAACAAAUUGAUUUUGGCUGGCUUCAAGGUGAAAAUCUGUAAUGCAGAUUGGUUUGCCCUGCUAAAUAACAAGAUGUGAGGUGAUUUAAAGAAAAUGUAAAAGAGCUCUUAUGGCAUGUUAUAGACCUUAACGUGAAUGCAUCAAAGAUGUCAAAAUUAAUGAACUUUCUUCUUCAAGUUUAUAUAUAUAUAUAAUCU